ensembl:lncRNA
AAAAAUGAUAUUUUGGUUUUCUUGUCAGAGAGAAGCUGGAGAAAAGAUACGUGGUGUCUCAAUUUCCAGUUUCCUGUAGUGGGGUUGCCAGAGUGACCCCUUCCAGUCAUAUCGGACCCCUGACGCACGCACACACUGGAAGUGGUACUGUACACAUGUUUAAAACAUAAUACUAAUUGAUAUGUUUAGGUUAUUAGCAUUUAAAUGAAAGUAUACAAAAGUUUAUAUAGUUGUAUGAAUGCAAGAGAUUAUGAUCUGUUUUAUGUGUGGAUGUUAAGAGCUACGGGUAGACGUCGAGAACAGCUCGGUGCCCAUUCCACGGGACAGCAGUUCCUCCUCAGGCUAUUCCAGUGCUCCUUCCAGUCCAAUGACCCCUUUAUCACGUGACACUUCUUUUGACCGGGUCAAAGACCUUCACAGACGUUUCGAGUCUGGUUUGGAUCCUGGUGAGAAAGAGCGGUCAUGCUUUCUCGUCAAUCCUGCGGUAACCACCGGUCCCAGCCGUCCCACUGCCCAAGUCCUCCCAGUCCAGAACGAUCCCUCCCUCUGUCCCUCCCAAAUGAAUUUGCCCCCUCCAUCCUUGCCUCUCCUCUCCCCAGGCCGCGUUAUCAACUCUCCCCGCAAACUUCGUCCACCCACUCUCUGUUCAGAAGAACGUCCCAAACCGAUGGGGUCUGGGGUCACCAUGGGUGUCCGGCUUGAGAACAUCUUCCCUGGGUUGAAUCUUGACAGUUCUCCGAGGCACCAGGAUGUGUCAAGCCCCCGUGGGCCCCUCACAGUGCUUCGCUCCCCUCCAGGUCUCAUGGUGGAGACCAGCACUGCUCUCACCUCCACAUCUAACACCCUCCAUCAUGCUUCCCACCCACCCUUACAUUUGCAAGUGUCGUUUUCUGUUCCACGCACAGGGUCGUACCCUUUCUCCACCCCGUCCUCCUGCCCCUCAUCGAGUUCCUCCACCAGACCCACCUUCUCAACUGUCAGUGGAGUUCCAAUAGCAACAGCCAGCAACGUUCCCAUGGCGGCAGUUCCCGGGAACACAUACUGCGUUAACAGUACACCCACAGUCACACCCAGUUCUAGCCCAGCAUCCACAGAGAAUAGCGGCUAUGCCUCAGUACAAGCAAACAGCGCUAACUCCAGUUCCUCAUUGUGCGUUUGUAGCUCUUGUGGUUGUAGCGGCAACUGUGGUUCGUACGGGGCACUUCCGGCUAGUUACGCCGGAUAUUUUCCACAUCCGUUUUCAGGAACUUCAGUAUUCACAUUAGGGCCUUUGCUUCAUUUCAGCCCCCUCCUUACAGGAAGUGGUCCCGCCUCUCCCUUUUCCCACCCCCUCGUGGCCCCGCCUAUUUACAACAGUAGUCUAUCACAUGACUCACAACAAAAUCUUGUGCUUCCACCAGUGCAGGGUUUUCUAGGGGAGGGGGUGGUGUGUACCAGCCCCAUGGAAUGA